UACGGAGGAUCCAAGCGUUAUCCGGAUUCAUUGGGUUUAAAGGGUGCGCAGGCGGAAUGAUAAGUCAGUGGUGAAAUCUUAUGGCUCAACUGUAAAACUGCCAUUGAUACUGUCAUUCUUGAGUACACUUGGAGUGGGCGGAAUGUGUCAUGUAGCGGUGAAAUGCUUAGAUAUGACACAGAACACCGAUCGCGAAGGCAGCUCACUAAGUUGUAACUGACGCUCAGGCACGAAAGCGUGGGGAUCAAACAGG
rnacentral:rRNA from 1 species